UAAACCUCAGACUGCCCGAUGCCCAAGCAGACACUAUGUCCCGGUUGGCAAGGCCACUCUCAUGCUUAGUCUCUAAAAUGGGAAAGCAACUGAGUGGGGGGUGGGGGACUUGAGUCCCCUUGGAGUCUAGAUCCACAUGAGUCCCAGCCACCCCGGCCCGAGCGCUCGUCCACAGAGUGCUGAGAUCAGACACCGUGCACCUGUUCAACCUCUGCUCUUGAGUUCCAGCCUGUUACCGAAAGACUGUCACCAUUGUGUGCUCGAGCCCUUCGAAGGACACAGUUUUAAUCAAAACAAUCCAUAUUUAUUCCCAAGUAGCUGACAUCGAGGAAAAUCAUCAACGGGAACUCAAUAUAUUGCCCUAAAGAAAAGAAUGCCCUUUGAGAUCUGUGGAUUAAAUGAAAUGUGUCCCAAAGCCCUGGAAGAGGAGACGGGAAUCCUGCAGUAGCCGUGACAUCAAUGUCCCUUACAGCCCUGGGCAGCGGGGACUCUAACACUUGCUAACGCCCUGUACAGAGACGGCAUUGGCAGAUCCCUGGCGAUCGAUUUUAUGAACUCUGGAAGUGUUGAUUUCAAUGUUUAUUUUUGUUUCGGAUGUGGAGCCAGAAAGAACAGCAGUGAUGCUGAGUUGCUGGAGGAACACAGCAGAUGGACCCCCUGUUGGGACCUUUCCUUCCGUUCUGGGCACCCGGACUGCCCUGGAGUGAGAGGCUAUCAGUCACAUGGACCCCUUUUCUCCAGUGCAGGCAAGUGAGUGGCCCGGGCUGGCCAAUCAGAACACCCACCUCCCUUGCCCCAGUGACUGGUCCAGGAGCGGUCAUGUGACCUAAACUGACUCCGGACCUUCUCUGUGGCCCUGAUGUCAGCCCUGAGGAAGAGAGGUCUUCUCUUCUUUGUGACUGUGAGCAUUUUGUCUUUGGUUUCUUAGCAAAUGUGUGUGUUGUGAGUCGAAGAGCGUCCCCCGCCCCCCAGCUUCAGGUGCACCCACAACCUCAGCAUGCAACCUUAAUUGGAAAUAGGGUCUUUGCAGGUAACAUUGGUUAAAAAUCUUGAGAUGAUGGGGCGCCUGGGUGGCUUGGUCGGUUAA